rnacentral:rRNA from 1 species
AGAAUUUGAUCCUGGUUCAGGAUGAACGCUGGCGGUGUGUCUAAGGCAUGCAAGUCGAACGGUUCCGAUGACCGCAAGGAAGUCGGAAUAGUGGCAAACGGGAGAGUAACACAUUAGUAACCUGCCGGAGAGUGGAGAAUAACCCGCCGAAAGGCGGCCUAAUACUCCAUGGUCUCCGAUUCUCGCAAGAGCGUCGGAGUAAAGCGCGCAAGCGCGCUCUCUGAGGGGCUUAUGGCUUAUCAUGGUAGUUGGUAGGGUAAUGGCCUACCAAGCCUAUUACGAGUACCCCGGCUGAGAGGCUUAAGGGGCUCACUGGGACUGAGACACGGCCCAGACUCCUACGGGAGGCAGCAGCCAAGGAUAUUCCCCAAUGGCCGAAAGGCUGAGGGAGCGACACCGCGUGAACGAAGAAGCCCUUCGGGGUGUAAAGUUCUUUUCUAUAGGAGCAAUCUUGAGUGUACUAUAGGAAUAAGCCGCUGCUAACUUCGUGCCAGCAGCCGCGGUAAGACGAAGGCGGCAAGCGUUAUCCGGAUUUAUUGGGCGUAAAGUGUGCGUAGGUGGUUUGUUAAGUUGGAUGUUAAAUCCCUGUGCUCAACAUAGGGGCCGCAUCCAAAACUGGCAGACUAGAGGUCGGGAGAGGCAAGCGGAAUUGUCGGUGUAGGGGUGAAAUCCGUUGAUAUCGACAAGAACACCAAAAGCGAAGGCAGCUUGCUAGAACGAUUCUGACACUGAGGCACGAAAGCGUGGGGAGCAAAAAGGAUUAGAUACCCUUGUAGUCCACGCUGUAAACGAUGGAUGCUAGGCAUUGGAAGUGUCGACCCUUUCAGUGUCGAUGAAAAUAAGCAUACGCGUUAAGCAUCCCGCCUGGGGAGUACGGCCGCAAGGCUAAAACUCAAAGGAAUAGACGGGGACCCGCACAAGCGGUGGAACAUGUGGUUUAAUUCGACAACAAACGAAGAACCUUACCAGGGUUUGACAUGCUAGGAGUAGUCCUGACGAAAGUCGGGGCGACCGUAAAAUCGGCGCUUAGCACAGGUGCUGCAUGGUUGUCGUCAGCUCGUGCCGUGAGGUGUACCCUUAAGUGGGGAAACGAGCGCAACCCUUGUCUUUAGUUGCCACUUCGAUUCGUCGGAAGCACUCUAAAGAGACUGCCAUAGAUGAUAUGGAGGAAGGUGAGGAUGACGUCAAAUCAGCAUGGCCCUUAUGCCCUGGGCCACACACAUGUUACAAUGGUUAAGAUAAAGGGUCGCGAAGUCGUAAGACGGAGCCAAUCCCAUCAAACUUGGCCUCAAUUCGGAUUGAGGGCUGAAACUCGCCCUCAUGAAGUCGGAAUCGCUAGUAACCGUAGGUCAGCUACACUACGGUGAAUACGUUCUCGGGUCUUGUACUCACCGCCCGUCAAGUCAAGCGAGCUGGUAAUACCCGAAAGUUCACGUUCGUGGAAAUAAGGUAGGACCAGUGAGAGGGACUAAGUCGUAACAAGGCACCGGUAGCGGAAGCUGUCGGUG